rnacentral:rRNA from 1 species
UACGUAGGGUGCAAGCGUUAAUCGGAAUUACUGGGCGUAAAGCGUGCGCAGGCGGUUUUGUAAGACAGGCGUGAAAUCCCCGGGCUCAACCUGGGAAUGGCGCUUGUGACUGCAAGGCUGGAGUGCGGCAGAGGGGGAUGGAAUUCCGCGUGUAGCAGUGAAAUGCGUAGAUAUGUGGAGGAAUACCGAUGGCGAAGGCAGCCCCCUGGGAGUAACACUCGACGCUCAUGCACGA